UCUGCCCCACGGGGAAGGAUGAGAAGCUUCGACUAAGGUUCGACUCGAGCGAAGCGAGAGAACGUUGCCGCAGGCAACGGCCCGAAGGGCGAGGCGCUUUAGCGCCGAGUAAUCCUUCCCCCACCACCA
rnacentral:sRNA from 1 species